AACGAACGCUGGCGGCGCGCUUAACACAUGCAAGUCGAACGAGAAGGCGUAGCAAUACGCUUGUACAGUGGCGAACGGGUGAGGAAUACAUGGGUGACCUACCCUCGAGUGGGGGAUAACCCGCCGAAAGGCGGGCUAAUACCGCGUACGCUUCCGAUCUCGCGGGAUUGGAAGGAAAGCUGUCCCUUGGGGAUGGCGCUCAAGGAUGGGCUCAUGUCCUAUCAGCUGUUGGUAGGGUAACGGCCUACCAAGGCAUCGACGGGUAGCUGGUCUGAGAGGACGAUCAGCCACACUGGCACUGCGACACGGGCCAGACUCCUACGGGAGGCAGCAGUGAGGAAUAUUGCGCAAUGGGCGAAAGCCUGACGCAGCGACGCCGCGGUGGGGGAUGAAGGUCUUCGGAUUGUAAACCCCUUUCGGGA
rnacentral:rRNA from 1 species